CUACUUCUUCAUCUUGCUCCACAGCGUUCUCCACCCCUUCCCAAACCCUAGCUAAGCCCGCCGCUAAAUGCUUCGCCGCCACCAAUUUGUCGUUUUCCAAGCCCAGUCUCCGCCCCCUUAGGGCUCAGCGCUGCGUCGCCGUCGGCACCUCUGCAUUUCUCACUCUGGAAAAAUGGCGGCGGCUACUUCUUCAUCUUGCUCCACAGCGUUCUCCACCCCUUCCCAAACCCUAGCUAAGCCCGCCGCUAAAUGCUUCGCCGCCACCAAUUUGUCGUUUUCCAAGCCCAGUCUCCGCCCCCUUAGGGCUCAGCGCUGCGUCGCCGUCGGCACCGGCGCGCUCGGUGCUCGUAUGGUGUCGGCGGCGCCGGUUGCGUCACCGGCGAAGCUCGAUUUCGACACUGCUAUCUUCAAGAAGGAGAGGGUUAACCUCGCUGGCCACGAUGAGGUUUGGAACUCUUCGAAAUCUCUCACUUCACUGUUGAGAAAUGAACCUUAUUUUUAAUUUUUGGGUAUUUUUUGCAGUAUAUCGUGAAAGGAGGGAGGGAUUUGUUCCAUUUGUUGCCGGAUGCAUUCAAGGGUAUCAAGCAGAUUGGUGUCAUCGGAUGGGGUUCACAGGUAAAAUAAAGUUGAAAUUUGUAGCUCAUAUUUCCAUUCUGGAGCUAUAUGUAAAAUGAAAAUUUUGGAAUGGUUUUGUUUUGUGUGAGAUUUUUGUAUAUACCUUAGCUAGUGUAGAUAAUAUAUAGUAUUGGAUCUUGGCACAUACAAGAGUUAAUAUGUGUAUUACAUGGUUUGACUGGAUGUUAAUGAAUGAAGUUCUUGCUUCCACCUUGAGUGCUUUGUUUUGUAAAAAGUGUAAUGUUGGUUCAAAAGGAACCCAGAGACAUUAUAAGUUGACUGAUGCAUUUUUGAAAUGUCUUUUCAAGUGUUUUUCUGGGAGGAAUAUUUUUGCUGUUAGAGUAUCUUAAGUUAUCUCUUGGAUACUUUAUGUUGUAAUUUAACAUUUUUAGUCAUCCUUUUAAACCUUUUGGUGAUUACUUUACUUUUCUGAAUAAUAUUUUAAGAUUUCUUUUUCAAGUUAAUCUUUUUUUUUAUUUUUCUUCUUAUUACAUAAUUUUGAUAUGAUUGCUAUCUUUGCACUACUUUCACCAGGGACCUGCUCAGGCACAGAACCUAAGGGACUCCCUUGCUGAAGCAAAGUCUGAUAUCGUGGUUAAGGUGAUUACGGGAUUCAUUAUUUUUUCAGUUCAUUAUUUUGUAUUGAUGUACAUGUAAUAUGUAAUCAUGUAGUUACUGGAUAAGAACUUUUGAUUGACUGGUCUCAUCCCAGAACCUAGUAUGUUAACGUGUUUGUCUUUUGACAAUACAGAUCGGACUAAGAAAAGGUUCUAGUUCCUUCAAUGAGGCCCGGGGUGCUGGUUUUAGUGAAGAGAAUGGAACUCUAGGUGACAUAUAUGAAACUAUCUCAGGGAGUGAUCUGGUGUUGUUGUUAAUUUCUGAUUCUGCUCAGGUUUGUAAAUUAAAAAAAGGCUGCAGAUUUAUUUUUUGGCUUUUUGGUUUGUCUUCGUUGCUCUCUAUUAUAUUCUGAUUGACUACCUGCUAUUUUUUAUUCUGACUAAGUUCUUGACUGGUGCUCCUAUAAUGCUAUCCUUAUGUUUCCAGUUAUUUUGUCAUGUCUUCCAUUACCUGAGCUGGGUGCUCUGAUUUGAUCACUUGGUAUAAAACAUAUAGAUAAGGUAAUGGUAGAGAAAUAGGAAACAAGAUACGUACUAUGUGUCAGAGAACAAUAUCUUGGUGAUGCUGAUCAUGUUUUUAAUUAAUGCUUGAAGUUCCUGAUAUUCAUUCCUUCCUAGGACAGCCAAUAGUUCGUAUCUCCAUAGGUUUUCCUUAGGAACCCUAGUUUUUUUGUAUUUGGCUAUAGAAGUAGACCGGUUGCAUCAUGCUUCCGUGAUUUUGCAACCCCUCUUUCCACUUAUGAUGUUUUUUUAAUAUAUUUUUCUCUAUCUGGCAGGCAGAUAAUUAUGAAAAAAUAUUUUCUAGCAUGAAGCCAAAUAGCAUACUUGGGCUGUCCCAUGGUUUUCUUCUUGGACAUUUACAAUCACUCGGACUUGAUUUUCCUAAGCACUUCAGUGUGAUUGCUGUGUGCCCAAAGGGGAUGGGUCCAUCUGUGAGGAGGCUGUAUGUCCAAGGUAAAGAGAUAAAUGGUGCUGGAAUUAAUUCAAGUUUUGCGGUCCACCAGGUAGUCCUCUCUAUCUUAUUCUCUCUUCUCUCACACUUCAUUGUGUCCUGCUUAUAAUUAUUUCAUUUAAUGAAUUUAUUUUUCUGGGGCUAAGCUUACUAUCAUUGCAUGCAGGAUGUGGAUGGCAGGGCCACUGAUGUUGCUUUGGGAUGGUCUGUUGCUCUUGGAUCUCCUUUUACAUUUGCCACUACAUUAGAGCAGGAAUACAAGAGUGACAUCUUUGGGGAGCGAGGUCAGAAUAUCUCUCUCGCAGUGCCUUGAUACCAAUCUUUGAAGACUUAUGGUCUAACUUUUGCUUUUAUUGAUUAUAGGAAUUUUACUUGGUGCUGUUCAUGGAAUUGUUGAAUCCUUGUUUAGGAGGUACACUGAAAAUGGAAUGGCUGAAGAUUUGGCUUAUAAGAACACUGUUGAGUCCAUAACAGGGAUUAUAUCUAAAACUAUCUCAACUAAGGUUGUCUCUCUUACUCAUUUUAGUGCUGAAUAGUCUUUAGGAUUUUUUCCUGAGCAUGUGACGGGCUUUUUGUGAGCUGUAACAUGAACCUUUGUUCAUUUUAUUUGGAUAGGGCAUGUUGGCUGUAUAUAAUUCUUUCUCAGAAGAAGGAAAGAGGGAAUUUGAGAAAGCAUAUAGUGCUUCAUUCUAUCCUUGCAUGGACAUUUUGUACGAGUGCUAUGAGGAUGUAGCUAGUGGUAGUGAG
rnacentral:lncRNA from 1 species